GAUGAACGCUGGGGGUAUGCCUUACACAUGCAAGUCGUACGAGGGUUUUUAACUCAAGUGGCGGACGGGUGAGUAACACGUAAGAAUUUGCCUUUAGGAGGGGGACAACAACUGGAAACGGCUGCUAAUACCCCAUAUGCUUUAGAGUGAAAUGGAUUUUUCCGCCUAAAGAGAAGCUUGCGGCUGAUUAGCUUGUUGGUAAGGUAACGGCUUACCAAGGCGACGAUCAGUAUCUGGUUUGAGAGGACGAUCAGACACACUGGAACUGAGACACGGUCCAGACUCCUACGGGAGGCAGCAGUGGGGAAUUUUCCGCAAUGGGCGAAAGCCUGACGGAGCAAUACCGCGUGGGGGAUGACGGCCUAUGGGUUGUAAACCUCUUUUUUCAGGGAGGAAAAAAAUGACGUGUACCUGAAGAAUAAGCAUCGGCUGACUCCGUGCCAGCAGCCGCGGUAAGACGGAGGAUGCAAGUGUUAUCCGGAAUCACUGGGCGUAAAGCGUCUGUAGGUGGUUUAGCAAGUCAACUGUUAAAUCUUGAGGCUCAACCUCA
rnacentral:rRNA from 1 species